rnacentral:rRNA from 1 species
CCUACGGGAGGCAGCAGUGGGGAAUAUUGCACAAUGGGGGAAACCCUGAUGCAGCGACGCCGCGUGAGUGAAGAAGGAUUUCGGGAUGUAAAGCUCUAUCAGCAGGGAAGAAGGUGACGGUACCAGAUUAAGAAGCCACGGCUAACAACGUGCCAGCAGCCGCGGUAAUACGUAGGGCGCAAGCGUUAUCCGGAAUUACGGGGUGUAAAGGGAGCGUGGACGGCAGCUCAAGUCUGGAGUGAAAUGCCGGGGCUUAACCCCGGAACUGCUUUGGAUACUGUGUAACUGGAGUACAGGAGGGGCAGGCGGAAUUCCUGGUGUAGCGGUGAAAUGCGUAGAUAUCAGGAGGAACACCGGCGGCGAAGGCGGCCUGCUGGACUGAAACUGACGUUGAGGCUCGAAAGCGUGGGGAUCAAACAGGAUUAGAUACCCCAGUAGUC